GAUGAACGCUGGCGGCGUGCCUAAUACAUGCAAGUCGAGCGAACGGACGAGAAGCUUGCUUCUCUGAUGUUAGCGGCGGACGGGUGAGUAACACGUGGAUAACCUACCUAUAAGACUGGGAUAACUUCGGGAAACCGGAGCUAAUACCGGAUGAUAUUUUGAACCGCAUGGUUCAAAAGUGGAAGACGGUCUUGCUGUCACUUAUAGAUGGAUCCGCGCUGCAUUAGCUAGUUGGUAAGGUAAUGGCUUACCAAGGCAACGAUGCAUAGCCGACCUGAGAGGGUGAUCGGCCACACUGGAACUGAGACACGGUCCAGACUCCUACGGGAGGCAGCAGUAGGGAAUCUUCCGCAAUGGGCGAAAGCCUGACGGAGCAACGCCGCGUGAGUGAUGAAGGUCUUCGGAUCGUAAAACUCUGUUAUUAGGGAAGAACAUAUGUGUAAGUAACUGUGCACAUCUUGACGGUACCUAAUCAGAAAGCCACGGCUAACUACGUG
rnacentral:rRNA from 1 species